GGAGGGUGCAAACGUUGUUCGGAAUCACUGGGCGUAAAGGGCGCGCAGGCGGACCUGUAAGUCAGGAGUGAAAACUCGGGGCUCAACUCCGAGCCUGCUUCUGAAACUGCAAGUCUUGAGGGCCGGAGAGGAGAGCGGAAUUCCUAGUGUAGCGGUGGAAUGCGUAGAUAUUAGGAAGAACACCAGUGGCGAAGGCGACUCUCUGGACGGUUCCUGACGCUGAGGCGCGAAAGCUAGGGGAGCAAACAGGGAUUAGAUACCCUGGUAGUCCUAGCCGUAAACGAUGAGUGCUAGGUGGUGGUGGUUUCAACGCCUUCACUGCCGGAGCUAACGCAUUAAGCACUCCGCCUGGGAUACGGCCGCAAGGUUG
rnacentral:rRNA from 1 species